UACAGAGGGGGCAAGCGUUAUUCGGAAUUAUUGGGCGUAAAGCGCGCGUAGGCGGCUUUGCAAGUCGGGUGUGAAAUCCCCAGGCUUAACCUGGGAACUGCAUUCGAGACUGCAUUGCUAGAGUAUGGGAGAGGGAAGUGGAAUUUCCGGUGUAGCGGUGAAAUGCGUAGAUAUCGGAAGGAACAUCAGUGGCGAAAGCGACUUCCUGGACCAAUACUGACGCUCAUGUGCGAAAGCGUGGGGAGCAAACAGGG
rnacentral:rRNA from 1 species